rfam:Triticum aestivum genome assembly, contig: Triticum_aestivum_CS42_TGACv1_scaffold_113386_2AS
GGCCUACUCCCCCCGUUCGGAAUUACUUGUCGCAGAAAUGGAUGUAUCUAGAUGUAUUUUAGUUCUAGAUACAUCCAUAUCCGAGUCAAGUAAUACCGAACGGAGGGAGUACAUG